CAGCACCUCAAGUGGUCAGGAUGAUUAUUGGGCCUAAAGCAUCCGUAGCCUGCUUUGUUAGUUUUCGGUUAAGUCCAUACGCUCAACGUAUGGGCUGCCGGGAAUACUGCAAAGCUAGGGAGUGGGAGAGGUAGACGGUACUCGGUAGGAAGGGGUAAAAUCCUUUGAUCUAUUGAUGACCACCUGUGGCGAAGGCGGUCUACCAGAACACGUCCGACGGUGAGGGAUGAAAGCUGGGGGAGCAAACCGGAUUAGAGACCCGAGUAGUCC
rnacentral:rRNA from 1 species